GCAUUAAUAUUUCAGCAAAGUUCCUGCAAUGAGUUCAAAAGAUAGACAGGCACACUGUGGAAAAACAAAGGCUAUGGAAAAACAAAGAGGCUUUUAUAUAGUUAAAAUAUCAAACCAGUCUCUGGGAUUUAUGUGGUGUAGUGGUAGUCUCUGGUGACCAAGAAUGUCUGUUGUCUUUGUGCAUUAUCAUCUAUUGGUGUACCCUCAUGUGGCUUUGGAGUCCAAAGGCGGAGGCGCAGAGUUUGUGGCACAUGGGGCCUGGGACGCCAGUUGUUACAGGAGGUGCGGUUGUGGCCUGGUGUCGGCGUUCACGCACAGCGGCAAGACGUCGACGUCGCUCAUCUCCAAAGGUGGUGGCGGCAUGGUUAAUGUGGGUUCGCCAGCUGCUUCUGACAGAGGCAGCGAGUUCUAGUUGCUUUGGUGUGAUGCCAGCCCACUUCAGGUUGGACUUUAGCUGAUCCUUGAAUCUUUUCUUUGGCCGGCCUUGUUUCCUGAGUCCAGCUGACAGUUCACCAUAGAAUACCUGUCUUGGUAUUCGCGGUGGGUCCAUGCGGAUGACGUGUCCAGACCAUCGUGGCUGGGCUUUGAGGACCAUGACUUCGAUGCUGGUGGAGUUGGCUCUGUCGAGGACUUCCUGGUUGGUGAUUCGGUCCUGCCAUCGGAUCCUCAUGAUUGACCGGAGGGAGCGUUGGUGGAAUUGCUCCAGCUGUUUCAUGUGCUUCCGGUACAAUGUCCAUGUCUCACAACCAUACAGGAGCGAGCUGAGGACCACUGCGUUGUACACUUUGAGCUUCGUCGCAGUGCUUACACCUCUGUGUUGGAGGACUUUGGAGCGCAGCCGCCCACGUGCCUGGCUGGCCUUUUGGAUCCUGGCAUUGAUCGCGUGGUCUAGGGACCCGUCGUUGGCGAUGGUGCUGCCCAGAAAUUACCGUCUGCCAUGAGACCAAGACAAAGAAGAGUUCCUUCCUGGGCGAGCAAAUACAAAGGAACUGAAAAGAAGUUUCCACAACUUGACAGGAUAAAAUACUUUAAACACGGCAGCGAGGUCCCCUAUGAAGUGUGUGUGGAGCUAGAGGCUGACAUUUUUGCAGACCCACCAAACACCUCCAGGGAAAAUGUCCAGAACACUGAAGUGCAGGAGUUCAAAUUCAAGGUCGAGAUGGAGAAGGAGAUGCCACUACCCAGGGCUGAAGACUUCCAGAGAAGUGAUUCAAGAUAUCCAAUCCACCAAGAAGAGGAAGCUGGAGGAGAAGAUUACACUCUGCCCAACCUGGUCACCAAGAACUUCUGUGAUCCUCAGGAUUUCUCUGAAGAAAAGAGCUCCCAGUCCAAGAAGCGGCUUCUACUAGAUUCCUCAGGGAUCUCAGGCAGGACCAAGAGACCUUGUCCACAGGGCAGUCUUGGCCCCACUUUGUGCUACCACCAGAAGUGCUGUGAACUGGUCUUGCUGCAUGAGGAAGUCAAGGAAUUGCACACUAGAAUAGAUGCUAUGACCAUUGCCAUGAAUGCUUUGCAACAGUACAUCCAAGCCAUGCAUCAGCUCCUGGAAAUCCAGGUAAAGAGAUGUAGUAGUUCGAAGGAAAAUUGCAAUCAGAGCAAAGCCACCAGGGACCAACCAGUCCUCUCCUUCCCAUUUCCAGCACACAGCACCCCCUUUAAAAGCACUCUAUGCUCCACUUCCUCAGCCAGACCCUGUCAAGAAAGAGCCCACAGACCCUGUCACAAUUCUGCCUCGUAAAAUGGCUGAAGCAACUGGGAAGCGGUGUGCACCCUACCCCGAUUCCCAGAGAUUCACGCUAUGUCCUCAAAUGACACUACACCUGCAUGGACAAGAAGUGGCCACUCUGAGGGAAACACUUCAUUCUCAGAGACCGAUGAUGAAGAUUGUUAACUUAUUACUGACCCAGUGGUGACAGACUAGCCAUGCACCAGGAGACACACCCCCUUUUGUAAUUUGUAAUUUCUUAUCAGUAACUCUCCAUAUCUGUUAGAAAGGUUGUCUUUGGUUUUAUUUUCUUCUAGUGAGAUUAGUAGUGUGGGGAGGAGAGAAUUUGGACAUUUCACUUUGAGAAGCAAAAUGUAAAGAACUUAAUAAAUAUCAGCUUCUUUGCUUGUAACA
rnacentral:lncRNA from 1 species